UCUACGGGGAAAAUUAAUUGUUUCUAUUUAUUCUAUCCUAGUUACAAUAAUCCUUAACUUUAAGUAUUGUACCUCCCUUUUUCUUAGUACUUAGAGUAGAAAACCAGAGAAGCAAAUCCAUUUAUUUUACUAGAAAGAAAAUUCUUACUUGUUUUAUCUAGAACCAUGAAAAAGAAGUGGUAUCACAAAUCUGCUUAGUUUUUUUGGACUUGAAGCGUAGAGUCGAAGGCUUUUGAGAUUCCACAAUGCUUGGGAGAAAAUGUGGAUGUCUCCAGGGAGGCCAUACCUAAUGAGGAGCUCCCAACAAAUGGCAACUGAUGUUACCUACAACCGAAUACGUCAAGAAGGAAACACACUCGCUUCAGCCUGCACCAACCAAAAUGACUGCUCAAAGGCCAUUCAGCCCCUUUAUCACUGUGGCUCAACUUUGAUUUUCUUCCCAGUUCAUCCAUGAUUCAGACUUCUUCUGUUUCAGGAGCUUUGCCCAUGCGUUCUGCCACCUUCUGCCAGGAAUUACACCUGUCCCAUCCCGUCGUCUCCUGAAUGUCCAGAGACAGGGGUCUCCCCGUGUUGUCCAGAACGGUCUUGAACUCCUGGUCUUCAAGCAAUCUUCCUGCCUUGGUCUCUCAAAGUGCUGGGAUUACAAGUGUGAGCCACCAUACCCGGUCAUAGCGCUCUUAUAAAAUGCAUCAUCACAUUUAUUUUAUAAAUUCAGAAACAAAAGUCUGUAUAGAGAAGUUUUGAAGUUACUAGGGACCUGAAAAUCAUACUGAAGAUGUCUGCAACUAAAAACUCGAAGAGUUCCGAGGCUAGAGGGGUCAGGAGAUGAAUAAAAACGUUAGCCCCAGCUGAUCACAAUGAGGUUAAUCACAAUACUAAUUAAAAAUACUACAGAUCCUAGGACAAUGGUCAGAAGAGUGACUAUACUUUCCUGUUUGCCCUUGGAAAAUCGAGGGCUGACUUUUCUACGUGCUCAGAUAACCUAAAUUGAUAGAGAGAAAGCUAGCAGAGGAUAAGAUAAACUAGUUAACUGUAAAUAAGAUUUUGCUGUUGGAGAAUCUUCUUGUUGCUCUGGUUUUAGAUAGCGGAGGAAGCCAAAAAAUAUCUGCUUUAAGUUACCAGGAGUUGAAGUUCAUCCCUGCUGAAGUUAACAGGUUGCUUCCCUUUUUCUGGUGUAUUCUUACUUUACUGGCAAAGAGAAAAUAAAUUAAUACCUUAUUGU
rnacentral:lncRNA from 1 species